rnacentral:lncRNA from 1 species
UCCAGUUCUUUUUGUGUUCGAGAAAGUUUCCACUUUCAUCGUCACAGAAGACAAGAAAGAAGAAGAAGCCGCCGCCUCUGAAGCAGAGGCAACAACAGCUGCUCCUGUUGAGGUGAAGGAGAAAGAGAUAGUUGUUGAAGCAGAAGCAAAGAAAGAGGAAGAACCAGCACCAGCACCUGCGGCGACACCUGCAGCUGAGGUGGCACCUGCUGAGGUAGCACCUGCAGCUGACGUGGCACCUGCCAAGGUGGAAGAAGCACCUGCAGCAGUAGCAGCACCGGAACCACCAAAAGCUUGAUGAAUCUAUCAAUUUGUUUGUCUCUCUGUGUAAGAGUUGAUUUUUUUUUAAUUUUUUUUUGUAUUUUAAUUUUUCUAUGUUUUGUGGUCACUGUAUAAGAAAGAAGACAA